CAGCAGCCUUGUGGUUGUGGUCAGUCAUGCCAAGCCACAGCAAAUGAAUGUCUACCACUUCAAGAAGGGAACAGAGAUCUGCAACUACAGCUAUUCCAGUAACAUUCUGUCCAUCCGGCUCAACCGUCAGAGGCUGGUUGUAUGCCUGGAGGAGUCAAUUUACAUCCACAACAUUAAGGACAUGAAGCUUUUGAAGACUAUUCUGGACACACCUCCAAAUACAACAGGCCUGUGUGCUCUCUCCAUCAACCACGCCAACUCCUACUUGGCUUACCCCGGCAGCGCGGCCAGCGGGGAGAUCGCGCUUUACGACGGAAACACUUUGAAAACAGCCUGCACGAUUCCUGCCCAUGAUGGGCCUCUGGCUGCCCUCACCUUCAACUCCACUGGCUCCAAGCUGGCAAGCGCUUCUGAAAAAGGCACAGUCAUUCGUGUAUUUUCCAUUCCUGGGGGGCAAAAGCUCUAUGAAUUCCGGCGAGGGAUGAAAAGGUAUGUGAACAUCAGCUCCCUGGUGUUCAGCAUGGAUUCCCAGUUCCUCUGUGCUUCCAGCAACACGGAGACUGUGCAUGUCUUCAAACUGGAGCAUCUCACUGACAGCCGGCCAGAGGAGCCUCCAACCUGGAGUGGUUACAUGGGGAAGAUGUUCCAGGCUGCUACCAACUACCUCCCAGCUCAGGUGUCAGGCAUGAUGAACCAGGAUCGAGCCUUUGCUACCGUCCGCCUCAACAUCUCCGGGCAAAGGAACAUCUGUGCCCUCUCCACGAUUCAGAAGCUGCCUCGACUGUUGGUGACUACGUCAGAUGGACAUCUCUACAUCUAUAACUUGGACCCACAAGAUGGAGGGGAGUGUGUCUUAAUUAAGAAACACAGUCUGCUUGGCUCAGGAAAGAUGGAGGAGAACAAAGAAAACAACCUUCAGUCCCCAUUACCUCAAUCUUAUGCAGCAACUGUAGCCAGACAAAGUACAGUGCCUUCAACUUCGACCAUGCCAGGUUAUUCAGAGGACGGUGGUGCCCUGCGAGGAGAGGUGAUCCCAGAGCAUGAGUUUGCAACCGGCCCAGUGUGUCUGGAUGACGAGAAUGAGUUCCCUCCUGUGAGCAUUCGGGACCCCUAAAGCUGAGAAGAAAGUGUUAACCUCUUGCAGAAGAGAUACUGCUGUCCCCACCUUGUCCCUGCUUACUGUGAAGCUUACAAUAACUAAUGAAGUUACAGGGACAGUGCCAGGAAAAGUACCCCAGAAACAGCAGCUAGGGACGGGGCAAAGGUGAUCAAACCUAAGCACCAGGGAUGGAUCUGAACAAACCAGCAGAAUGCAGGUGCAGAGUGAUGUUCAGAUCCUGAUCUGACCUUUGUGCCUUGCACAGGUUUCUAGUAGGAGCAGGAAUAGCUUUAAUUUGAACAAUGUCAUCUUGGAGAAAGAACAGCUUUGUGCUCCCUGUUGCAUUUACAGCUAGCUGCUUUAGUGCAUGGAAUGCAACUGGGAUUGGACUAGAUGACCUUUGAGGGUCCCUUCCAAACUGGACCGUUCUAUGAUUCUGUAUGCCUGAACCUUCCCAGUCUCUUCAUUUCCAAGCUAACUGGAAAGGAAACUCCUUUUCCCAGUAGAAAGAUGAAAGGCAAACCAGAGAUUGAAACCAUUUGGUGACUUUUAUGUGGCACUUUCUCAGUUACCACUGGAAGAAGGUAGUGGCUUUUAAAAAUCUAACUGAAGCCUGGCAGUGUCUCUCCUCCUCCUUUUCCUACACACACGUUUAUUGUGUCAAGUAUCUCAGCCCUAAAGGGACAGAUGUUGGUACCAUGCUAUGAUCUGGUUGCAAUCAGAUGUCCUCAUAAUAAUAAUGCAUUAACAGAGCAGAAUAUUGAUUUCCAGUUGUAGUCUUGGCAUCCCUUGAAUCCCUUACUCCAUUUUUACAUCUCCUGCUGUUGGGAGUUUUGCCUACAAAAGGAGAAGGUAAAACCUCUUCUCAGGAUCCCAGGAUUUGUUCCAGAUGCUGAGGCUGACCUCUGUGAGGCACUUUUCUCUAACUGAUACAAGGUUGCUACUUAGAUAAACGAUUAUUAGCUCAUCAGUGAUCAGUGCCCUUUGAAACAACACUGCCUAGGCCCGGCUCAAAGUGCAUAAAUCUCAGGCCAGUGCUCUUUUGUAACUUGUGGUAUAACUGAGAACAGGAGCUUUCCAGUUGGCCUGCUCCUGUUACUCAAGAAGGAUGUUUAAAAUGUCCCUGCUCUGGUCACAGCUGGUGGUCCAAGCUGCCUGGAAGGAGCAGCAGGGCCAGAGAGAAAUCCUUUGCUUCCUUCUGAUCAACCUGCUCUUGAACAUGUGGUUUUGGGACAGGCAAAUUCCAGUAAGCGGGAAUCCUGCUGCUCCUGAAUGAGCCUUCCUGCUGGGGCUGUGCUGUGUGAAAGCAGCCCCAGAUCCCCGUGGUCCACCAGCAGGAACUUUAUUAAACCAACUUUGAUCUGUCACAAUCCUGAGCCGUAAUUAACCUGAGAGAGCAACUUAACGUCUGUAACCUUAGGAAGGAGGUGGUGUGGGAGGGAAGGUGCUUGCCUAAAAUACUCCCUGCUAUGGUGGCUUAGCAAUUGGAGCUUCCAGAGAAAGUCUUCCCAGCUAGGACUUGGGUUUGCCCCUCUGUUGCUAACGUGUUCAGCAUCUGGUGUUGCGGCGGCGUGGGCUCCCGCUGGCUGAGUGCGCACGGAGGGUCGACUGCCUGUUUUGAUGCUCUCAAUUUCUCUGAACUUUGCUGUUUUCUCAGAGCUGAGAUCUUCUGCCUCAGUGACGUGUUCAGAGGGGGAUGGGGAGGGGGUUUCAGGCAUCAGUCGUUUUCUGUGUUGAGAAGGAAGGAGAGCAAACCUGACCUUAUCCAAGAAAAAUGUUUUGACAGCGUUCUGCUUUGCGGAAACAUGGGAAGGGUUUUGUUUGUUUUCCAGUGUGCAACAAAAAAGACGUUUUAAAAACCUCAAAACUUGUGACAAAAUGGAAUAUUCACCCACAGCCCAUGCCACGAGGAUGGCUUUGAACUUAAGACACACUUCUGGAGAAACAGCAGUGCUCAGACCCAGCAGUUUCUUCUCCAUUUUGAAACAUCUCGCUUUCCCCUGACCUCGAGCAAGACUUCAGAGGCUCAGCUGUUAAGAGUGAGGAAAAGCGGCUUCAGUCUAACACAGGAUCUGUUGAGAUUGUUGAAAACUGCCUCUUGGUUAAACAGAUCAGAGGAGAGAUGAGAAGCCCAAGGAGGGCUCAUAAAAAAUGGCCUCAACAAGAGCAAAUGUGGAUGUUGCUACCGAUUGCGCCAGGGCUGCUGAAGGAUCCUGCAGCAAGAGGUCAGCAAGUUCAGUUCCAUCCUUUGCUUGCAGGGAUGGGGUGGAUUAAGUCCUUUCAGGUCUGCUGUUGAUCUCACACAGGAAGGACUCAGGCAUUAUUGAGAUGGACAGGAGCCUAAAGCCUCAGCUGAGAAGGAGCCAUGCGUGAGAUGAGCUGGGAGAAGCUGCGUGGCCCUUGCGCUGUGUGGUCAAGUGUUGUGGGAUGGGAAGUGUCACCUCAGCACUGGCUGCUGAUGGUUGUGGUGAUCUUGGCUGUUUUCUGGUCACCUGCCACUUCUCUGUGGGUUUGUCAGGGUCAGUCAGGUUUCCAGUGGUCUCAGGAGCUGUUGGUGUGUGCUUUGGGACAGGCAGGGCACCACUUGGCCAGCUCCACGCUUGGAGCCACCAUGGUCAGAACAGUUUUUGGGGUAGCGCUGGGAGGUUUGAUGAAAUCCUGCAGGGUUCAGCAAGCAAGGUGGCCUGUGUGGACCUGAGGAGCACAACCAGAGGAUCUUAAAAGUGUUGGGAUUCAGCAGGUGAUUUCUUCCAGCAGGCUGCUCAGUGCUUUUCCAGGCAUACAUGAUCCGUUCUGCUUUUGGCUGCACCCCGAACCUGUCAGCUUCAAAGCAGGGUUGAUGUGAUGGCUUUAUGAGAACCAUUUCAUUAAGUCAGACUAGAUUGCAUACAGCACUCAGCUCCUCAAGGAUGACUUCCCCUCAUGGACACACAGACAGCCUUCAAAAACAUCUCUUCCACUUCCAAAACUGUCUGAGUACCCUGCCUGUGCUGCCAAAGGAUGCUGCUGCCCAGGGCUCCUAUCUGCAGCGUUGGUGACAGGGUGGAAGGAAAACCCCUCCAGAUGUCAACAGCAGCCAUCAGCAGCUCCCCUGCAGCUCCAGUCACUCCUGCCCUGCUCCCUGGAAGGACAGACAGGAGGACAGGCUCCAGCAGCCACUCUUCACAUCACAACAUCCCCAUCCUGCUAGCCCUGCUGUCUGCAGAGGACCCCAGCAUGGGGUCUGCUGCCUCCUCACUACCCCAAACCAUGAUCUUUAUGCAAGUAGCCAGGUUGCAGAUGGAUCUUUGGCUCCAUGGGACCAGGAUUUGCCCAGGUUCCUCCUUGCUGUUUGCUGGAAGGUGUUCCACUUGUUCUGUUGCACCAAAAUGUGGCACUUGGUGAUUUUAAGGGAAUUUUUUUUUUUUCUUCAACAGCUGGCUGUUGUCAGAGAUUUUGCAGUGAAGCUCUUCACUGAUCAUGUUUCACAGGGGAUGAGCAAGUUUGGCAGAACCCAACUGGCCUCUUCUUCCUCAUGGCAGCUCCUGCUCUGGUAGCACAGACAGGCAUUUUGGGCAACUGGGGCUCACAGGAUUAAGCUCAGCUAUCAGUGCACUAUCUGAGGUCCCUUGGGAAACAUGGAAUCUGGUGCCAAUACUUGUGCUGGACAAGGGAGGUCCUGAAGCCCAUGGAGAGAUGGAUCCUGGGAGAAGGAGCUGGCCCAGACCUUAUUGCUGCUGUGGCUGUGAGGAUCACAUCUGUACUGCUGGGAGACACCAGUCACAUCUGGCAAGACUGGAGCUGAUAAUCUUGUGCCGCGGAGGCCAGCCGGGCAAAGCG